rnacentral:rRNA from 1 species
UUUCACUGAAACAAGGGGAGAGCUCAGAGGGGGGCUGAAAGCCCUCGAGGCAGCAGUAAAGAAUUUUGUGCAAUAUACGAAAGUAAGACACAGAGAGGACACAUUUACCUAAUCCGUCAAAUUAAGUGCCAGCAGACGCGGUGAAACUUAAGGGUUAGUCUUAUAGGAAAAAGCGUAACGGGUGUGAAAGGUGCAAUGGUUUUUUAAGAGGUAAAUGGAAUUUUUCUGUAAUGGUUGAAUGUGUUGAUAGAAAAAAGAACUUUAAACGCGAAGGUAAUUUAUCUCUAAGAAUGGGCCCCGCAAGGCUGAAACACGAAAGUAUGGGGAGCAAACAGGAUUAGAGACCCUGGUAGUCCAUACUGUAAAUAAUGAAGAUGGCGUGAGGCGCCCCCAAAAGGGAAGAAAUCUUCCGCUUGAGUAGUACGAUCGCAAGAUUAAAAUUCAAAAAGCUUGGCUGUCCACUGUUCUAAUUAGAGGAGCGUGUCGUUUAAUUCGAUAGUCCGCGAGAGACCUUACCCAAACUUGAAUUCCCCUUUGACAGGUAUUGCAUGGCCGUCGUCAAUUUGUGUAUAAAACGUAAAACCGGUUUAACCCAGUGGGUUCGUUUAUUGGAUGAAGUCAGGUCUUAUUGUCCUAAUGUUUGGGGAUUAGAUGCGCUACAUUUUUUUAUACAAUGGGAGACUUUGAAAGUGAAACCCUAAAGUAAGAGUUCGGAAGGUGCCUGGAAGAUAACUGAAAGUGGUAUUUAAUAGUAAUCGGAAAGUAGAGCGUUCUGGUGAAACUGGCCCAGUGUUAGUACAAAUUGCCCGUCGCCUUUGCUUAGAGUGGUGGGUUGGACGCCCCUUAUUGUAGGGGUUACGAGCACCUUCGAGGCAGAGCAAGUCGUAACA